CUAAACUUAUAAGCUCACCGACUUGAUCAGAUUCAUUUUUUCAGUUCAAUGAAAAUGACAAUUUUUCAAGCCAGGACGUCGUUCUCUAGAACCUUCUCGACCGUUGCUUCUCACCCUCUGCUCGUCUGUGUCGUCGGAAGUGGACCUGCUGGCUUCUACACUGCUGAGAAGGUAAAUUCUUUCUAUUUGUGUGUGUUUCUUUGUUGUUAAAUUAAUUUUAUUAUUACGUAGGAGUUUUAUCCCUACCAAAUAGCUCCUUUUGGUUUCAGGGCAAUGUAGCUCUUGAUGUUGCACGCAUUCUUUUACGACCAACAACAGAGUUGGCUACAACAGAUAUUGUGAGCCAUGCUUUGGCAGCUCUUGAGGACAGCUCUAUAAGGAAAGUGUAUUUGGUUGGGAGGCGGGGACCAGCCCAAGCAGCUUGCACUGCCAAAGAGCUGCGUGAAAUUAAUGGUAUCAAAGAUCUGCAUGUUCACAUCAAGGAAGCUGAUCUACUCACAACCC